CACGUAGGGUGCAAGCGUUGUCCGGAAUCAUUGGGCGUAAAGAGCUCGUAGGCGGCUUAGCAAGUCGGGUGUGAAAACUCCAGGCUCAACCUGGAGACGCCACUCGAGACUGCUAUGGCUAGAGUCCGGUAGGGGACCACGGAAUUCCUGGUGUAGCGGUGAAAUGCGCAGAUAUCAGGAGGAACACCGGUGGCGAAGGCGGUGGUCUGGGCCGGCACUGACGCUGAGGAGCGAAAGCGUGGGGAGCAAACAGG
rnacentral:rRNA from 1 species